UACGUAGGGGGCUAGCGUUGUCCGGAAUCAUUGGGCGUAAAGCGCGCGUAGGCGGCCCGGUAAGUCCGCUCUGAAAGUCCCGGGCUCAACCCUGGAAUGCGGGUGGAUACUGCCGGGCUAGAAUCCGGAAGAGGCGAGUGGAAUUCCUGGUGUAGCGGUGGAAUGCGCAGAUAUCAGGAGGAACACCAAUAGCGAAGGCAGCUCGCUGGGACGGUACUGACGCUAAGGCGCGAAAGCGUGGGGAGCGAACAGG
rnacentral:rRNA from 1 species